rnacentral:lncRNA from 1 species
CUAGACACUUAACCAAAACAAACAUGAAGGCAAGAGUCAGAACAAAGCAAAACAAAAUUGAAAGCACAAUGAAGCAAAACCCACAGCAUGAAAUAAGCAAUUUGAGCUGGCAAAAAAAGGUAAAAGGCACAAGAAAACCUUGAAGAUCGAAGAAUAUAAAGCCCACAUUAAGAAAGAAGAGAACUAAAAUUAUUGAAGCAGAAAAGAAAGAUCGAAGAAAGUAAGAGCAAAUAAAAAGUUGUAAUCAGGUUAGAACACUCACCCUAUCUCUAUAUCGGUUCUUGCACUUUCCUCUAAAUUUUUGUAAAGCCCUAAUUGUCAAUUUGUUUCAGAUUUUUCUGUUCUAGACUUGAUUUAAAUUUAGAUAGGCUUCUAUGCAUGAAUAAUUUGUUUAUUUACUUUUUCACGGGCAUGCACACAUGAAUUGAUGAUUUGCAAAUAUAACUAAGAAAAUUCCACUGGGUGUUUAUAAAAUAUGAUUUAGAAGAUGUGUUGUUUGUUUACUAGUUUUGAUUUUAGGAAUUGAUGAUUUAAAGUUUUUAAAAAUUAUGUAUUGGUCCUUUUUUGUUAUAUAGUAGCACAUGGUUGGACAUGUUGCAUAAUUUAAUAUGUUUGAGCAUGAAAGUUCCUUAAUUUUUUCAAAAUUUUAUCCUUAUGGCAACAAAUUUUAAUUAUUUCAUGACAAGUUGACCUUAAUUAUUAAAAUUAUUUAUCAUUAGGAUGUGCUUUUGUGUGUGUCUUUAUGUGCCGGCUUUUAGUAAAUAAAUAAUUUUUUAAAUGCGGUAAUUGUGUUCAUUUGUUGUUUUGCAAGAUGUUAUUAAAGUAAUUGUAUCAUAUUUGUAUUUUGUUAUUUUUUGUGAUUUAAUAAGUUAGGUUUUGUAGUAAUAAAAGUAUUAAUACUGUUAUAAAUUGACUGUGGUUGGCAGGUUUUUUUAUUUGUCUAAUUCGAUUACUACUGUGGUUAAAAGUUUUGUUGAGUGGGACGAGAAGGUGUUUGAUUGGUUCAGGUACGAAUACAUUGUCAUUUCAACUGUAAUUGUGUGGCUUUUUGACAUUGGACCCAAUGACAUAAACGAAUGGGCAGUGGCGAUACCACCUUCACCACUGCUAGAAAGCAGCCAAAACGUACGGCCACACGAAGCUAAGGUUUCUAGCGCAAAAGGUCACCACAAUUGGCGCAAACUGCUGGAUUUCUAGCCCGGUACCACCAGGAUUGUGCUCGUCAUGGUUGUGGCCAGCGAGCCUCAAACUCCUGGUUCUCGAUCUUAUAAUAUGUUAUUUCAGCCUCAUAGCCGUAGGCCUCAAUGUUAUAAUACGAACCGCGGCCUUAUGCUCAUAGGGCUAGCUUAUUCUUAGUAAUACAUAUCUCGAUCUCAUGUGCCCAUAUUUUUAUCUUCCUUUAAUCAAAACAUCUAUAAAACUACUUAGCACGCCCAAUUUUUUUUUUUUCAUGAAGGCAGGAGUCAGAACAAAGCAAAACAAAAUUGAAAGCACAACGAAGCAAAACCCACAGCAUGAAAUAAGCAAUUUGAGCUGACGAAAAAGGUAAAAGGCACAAGAAAACCUUGAAGAUCGAAGAAUAUAAAGCCCACAUUAAGAAAGAAGAGAACGAAAAUUAUUGAAGCAGAAAAGAAAGAUCGAAGAAAGUAAGAGCAAAUAAAAAGUUGUAAUCAGGUU